rnacentral:rRNA from 1 species
UUGGUGGGGGACAACAGUUGGAAACGACUGCUAAUACCGCAUGAUGUCUACGGACCAAAGUGGGGGACCUUCGGGCCUCACGCCAAAAGAUUAGCCCAAGUGGGAUUAGCUAGUUGGUNAGGUAAUGGCUCACCAAGGCNACGAUCCCUAGCUGGUUUGAGAGGAUGAUCAGCCACACUGGGACUGAGACACGGCCCAGACUCCUACGGGAGGCAGCAGUGGGGAAUAUUGCACAAUGGGCGCAAGCCUGAUGCAGCCAUGCCGCGUGUGUGAAGAAGGCCUUCGGGUUGUAAAGCACUUUCAGUAAGGAGGAAAGGUUAAGUUUUAAUAGAGCUUAGCUGUGACGUUACUUACAGAAGAAGCACCGGCUAACUCCGUGCCAGCAGCCGCGGUAAUACGGAGGGUGCGAGCGUUAAUCGGAAUUACUGGGCGUAAAGCGUACGCAGGCGGUUUGUUAAGCGAGAUGUGAAAGCCCCGGGCUCAACCUGGGAACUGCAUUUCGAACUGGCAAA